rnacentral:rRNA from 1 species
UACGUAGGGUGCGAGCGUUGUCCGGAAUUAUUGGGCGUAAAGGGCUCGUAGGCGGUUUGUCGCGUCGGGAGUGAAAACACACAGCUUAACUGUGUGCUUGCUUCCGAUACGGGCAGACUAGAGGUAUGCAGGGGAGAACGGAAUUCCUGGUGUAGCGGUGAAAUGCGCAGAUAUCAGGAGGAACACCGGUGGACGAAGGCGGUUCUCUGGGCAUUACCUGACGCUGAGGAGCGAAAGUGUGGGGAGCGAACAGG